rnacentral:rRNA from 1 species
UACGAAGGGGGCUAGCGUUGUUCGGAAUCACUGGGCGUAAAGCGCACGUAGGCGGUUUUUUAAGUCAGGGGUGAAAUCCCGGGGCUCAACCUCGGAACUGCCUUUGAUACUGGAGAUCUUGAGUCCGGAAGAGGUAAGUGGAACUGCGAGUGUAGAGGUGAAAUUCGUAGAUAUUCGCAAGAACACCAGUGGCGAAGGCGGCUUACUGGUCCGGAACUGACGCUGAGGUGCGAAAGCGGGGGGAGCAAACAGG